GACGAACGCUGGCGGCGUGCCUAAUACAUGCAAGUCGAACGCAGUGGGGACGGGUGAGUAACACGUGGGUAACCUCCCAUCAGAGGGGAUAACACUUGGAAACAGGUGCUAAACCGAUACUGAUGGAUGGAGCCGCGGUGCAUUGGCUAGUGGGGGGGGUAACGGCCCAACAAGGCCACGAUGCAUAGCCGAUCUGAGAGGGUGAUCGGCCACACGGGGACUGAGACACGGCCCAGACUCCUACGGGAGGCAGCAGUAGGGAAUAUUGGGCAAUGGACGAAAGUCUGAUCGAGCCACGCCGCGUGAUUGAAGAAGGUUUUCGGAUCGUAAAACUCUGUUGUUAGGGAAGCGGUACCUAACCAGAAAGCAACGGCUAACUACGUGCCAGCCGCCGCGGUAAUUC
rnacentral:rRNA from 1 species